GAAAACAAUUCUUCAACUCAUGCUGCUUUAACUUCCCCUUGUAUCUUGCAGAUAUGCUCUGCUAGAGCUGGAGAGGCGAGUCAUCUUCCCCUGCCUGGUUCCUUCCCCAACGAUCUCUGCAACAUUGACUCAGUGUUAUCAUAUAGAGGGAAAGGGGGCACCUGAACAGACAUUACCUUCAGCAACAAGUGCCCAUGAAGGAGCACCCCCAGACCAACAGCAAGCCUGUACUGUUAAGCGGACAGCUUCCCUGUCUCAGGACCACAUAUCAGCAGCUAAGCAAAAUCAUCGUUAAAGCUCAUUUUUGAACCAGAAGAAGUGGCACCAGAGGUAAGAUCAAAGCCACCAAAACUCCACAAAUCCUGCAAUACAGCUGAUGCACCCAAUGCAAUACACAGCUGCACCUCCCCCCUAUUCCUUGAGCAGAUCAGAAGAGAUUUUUCUGAUCAGAAGAGCAAAAAAUUGGACUCUGCAGGAAAUAAGCUCGCUCACCCAAAAUGUGAGAUGCCAAGCUGAAGAUCGAGCCCAGUUCAGGCUGGCCAAGAGCUGAACCUACAGUAUGCCUUUGGGGGUUCAACCAUUCUACAUUUCUCUGAUUGACAUCUGAGUUAUUGCUAUUUCCAGCUCUACCCCAGAGCCUUCCCAUACUCCAAAAAACCCUCUGAGUUUAGAUUUGAUUAGAAGUGGCAGGCUGCCACAAAGCAAACAAUGAGAAAUCCUUCUGUUAAAAGGUUCUGUAAAAGCUUUAGUCUGACAUCUGCGUGGGCAAACCCUCCUGCCUGUGGCAAGCUCCAUUGGAGCCCAUAAGCAUUAACAGAAACACGAGUACAGGAUCAAGUCACGAGAUUCCCAUCUGGAAGGUCCUUGUGCAUCAUGACCAGUGUGCUCUCUUCUUCCAAGAGACUCUCUUCAGGCUUAUAUAGUGAGGCAAUCAAACAGGUUGCCCAGGGAUGUAGUUGAUGCCCUAUCCCUGGAGACUUUCAAGGCGAGGGUGGACCAGGCCCUGGGCAAUGUGAUCUAGCUGUGGUGUCCCUGUUCACUGCAGGGGAGUUGGACUGGACUGCCUUUAGAGGUCCCUUCCAACUCUAAGGAUUCUGUGAUAACCUGCUCUAAGGAAGCACCUCUUCUUUUGCCAGCCCUUGGCCCACCUAUCACCA
ensembl:lncRNA